rnacentral:rRNA from 1 species
GACGUAGGGCGCGAGCGUUGUCCGGAUUUAUUGGGCGUAAAGAGCUCGUAGGCGGCUUGUCGCGUCGUCCGUGAAAACCCACAGCUCAACUGUGGGCUUGCGGUCGAUACGGGCAGGCUAGAGUUCGGUAGGGGAGACUGGAAUUCCUGGUGUAGCGGUGAAAUGCGCAGAUAUCAGGAGGAACACCGGUGGCGAAGGCGGGUCUCUGGGCCGAUACUGACGCUGAGGAGCGAAAGCGUGGGGGAGCGAACAGG